GAUGAACGCUGGCGGCGUGCUUAACACAUGCAAGUCGAACGAUGAAGCCCAGCUUGCUGGGUGGAUUAGUGGCGAACGGGUGAGUAACACGUGAGUAACCUGCCCUUAACUCUGGGAUAAGCCUGGGAAACUGGGUCUAAUACCGGAUAGGAGCGUCCACCGCAUGGUGGGUGUUGGAAAGAUUUAUCGGUUUUGGAUGGACUCGCGGCCUAUCAGCUUGUUGGUGAGGUAAUGGCUCACCAAGGCGACGACGGGUAGCCGGCCUGAGAGGGUGACCGGCCACACUGGGACUGAGACACGGCCCAGACUCCUACGGGAGGCAGCAGUGGGGAAUAUUGCACAAUGGGCGCAAGCCCAAUGCAGCGACGCCGCGUGAGGGAUGACGGCCUUCGGGUUGUAAACCUCUUUCAGUAGGGAAGAAGCGAAAGUGACGGUACCUGCAGAAGAAGCACCGGCUAACUACGUG
rnacentral:rRNA from 1 species